rnacentral:rRNA from 1 species
CCUACGGGGGACAGCAGUCGAGAAUCAUUCACAAUGGGGGAAACCCUGAUGGUGCGACGCCGCGUGGGGGAAUGAAGGUCUUCGGAUUGUAAACCCCUGUCAUGUGGGAGCAAAUUAAAAAGAUAGUACCACAAGAGGAAGAGACGGCUAACUCUGUGCCAGCAGCCGCGGUAAUACAGAGGUCUCAAGCGUUGUUCGGAAUCACUGGGCGUAAAGCGUGCGUAGGCUGUUUCGUAAGUCGUGUGUGAAAGGCGCGGGCCCAACCCGCGGACGGCACAUGAUACUGCGAGACAAGAGUAAUGGAGGGGGAACAGGAUUUGGCGGUGUAGCAGUGAAGUGCGAAGAUAUGGAGAGGAACACUCGUG